rnacentral:rRNA from 1 species
AGUGAACGCUGGCGGCGUGCUUAACACAUGCAAGUCGAACGAGAACGGAUUAUAGCUUGCUAUAAUUGUCAGCAAAGUGGCGCACGGGUGAGUAAUGUAUAGGUAAUAUGCCUCUUACUAAGGGAUAACAAAUGGAAACGUUUGCUAAUACCUUAUACUCCUUAUUAACAUAAGUUAAUAAGGGAAAGAUUUAUUGGUAAGAGAUUAGCCUGUAUUGUAUCAGUUAGUUGGUGGGAUAAUGGCUUACCAAGACUAUGACACAUAACUGGUUUGAGAGGAUGAUCAGUCACACUGGAACUGAGACACGGUCCAGACACCUACGGGAGGCAGCAGUGGGGAAUAUUGCACAAUGGACGAAAGUCUGAUGCAGCAACGCCGCGUGGAGGAUGACACAUUUCGGUGCGUAAACUCCUUUUAUAUGAGAAGAUAAUGACGGUAUUAUAUGAAUAAGCACCGGCUAACUCCGUGCCAGCCGCCGCAGUAAGAC